AUGAUAAUAAUACAUUUUUAUUAUUAAUAUGAGUGAUUUUGCUGAUGCAGCUGAUAUUAGGCCCCCUGUUCUAGCAGUAGUCUAUUAUUCCCAGCCCUAGCCCUGGUCUAUGUCUCUGGAUGGCGGUGAAUUAUAUAAUAAGAUAAUGUGUAGAGCUGUCAGUCUGUCCUUGCAUCCUCAGCUGCUGCCUUCACCUCCAUAGACAGAGCUUGCAGGAUCACUAGAGGGAGCCUGUGCCUCUUCCCUUGGACAAUAAAGGGAGUUUCCAUGUUGCAUUCAGGCUGCUGCUGCUGCUGCCCUGAGCCUCUUGUGCUCCUCACACUAGCAGCAAGCAGCACCAAGCGGGGAGUGGUGUGCAAAUUGUGCAACAUGCAGAUGCCAUCCGUGCCUCCAAGCCCUAGUCUAGGUGUCAAGCGGGGCUUUUUGUGGAGGUCAUCCAGGGCCAGGAAGGUGGAGGAGCCACCUAUGUGCUAGAAGGCGCCUUGGAUCUAUCAUUGCAUUGGAUCUGUUCCCAUCUGUGCUGCUGCUGCUCCUGGGCUUGGGAUUGCCGGACACUUUGGGGAGGUGGAGAGGAGGACAAGCAGCUGUGUGUUGGUGAUUUGUUCAUUCCUGUGGCCAGGAGAGAGGUGUGGAGGUGGCCUUCACCCAGGCUACUCAUCAUGGGGAAUGCAGGCAGCAUGGAUUCUAACCAGACUGAUUUCAAGGCACAUAAUAUGCCCCUUAAGCUGCCCAUGCCUGAACCAGGUGAACUGGAGGAGAGGUUUGCCAUCGUAUUGAAUGCUAUGAACCUUCCGCCUGAUAAAGCCAGGUUACUGCGUCAGUACGACAACGAGAAAAAGUGGGAACUUAUCUGCGAUCAGGAAAGGUUUCAAGUGAAAAACCCUCCACACACGUAUAUACAGAAGCUGAAAGGAUAUCUCGAUCCAGCGGUAACAAGAAAGAAGUUUCGGAGACGAGUACAGGAGUCCACUCAGGUUCUACGGGAACUGGAAAUCUCUCUGAGAACAAAUCACAUAGGAUGGGUGAGAGAAUUUUUGAAUGAAGAGAACAAGGGUCUGGAUGUACUGGUGGAAUACCUCUCCUUUGCACAAUACGCAGUCACAUUUGACUUUGAAAGUCUGGAAAAUAACGUAGAAAACAAUGUUGAUAAAUCAAAACAUUGGAGUCGUUCAAUUGAAGACCUACAUAGAGGAAGCAACCUACCAUCACCUGUUGGAAAUAGUAUUACCCGCUCGGGCAGACAUUCUACUUUACGGUAUAAUACUUUGCCCAGUAGACGGACGCUAAAAAAUUCAAGAUUAGUCUGUAAAAAGGACGACGUCCAUGUCUGCGUCAUGUGUCUGCGGGCGAUCAUGAAUUACCAGUAUGGGUUCAACAUGGUCAUGUCCCAUCCACAUGCUGUCAAUGAAAUUGCACUAAGUCUGAACAAUAAAAACCCAAGAACAAAGGCACUUGUUUUAGAGCUGCUUGCAGCCGUCUGCCUUGUCCGUGGAGGACAUGAAAUUAUUUUAUCAGCAUUUGAUAACUUCAAAGAGGUUUGUGGUGAAAAACAACGCUUCGAAAAGCUCAUGGAACAUUUCAGGAAUGAAGACAACAAUAUAGAUUUCAUGGUUGCCUGUAUGCAGUUCAUUAACAUCGUAGUCCAUUCGGUAGAAGACAUGAAUUUUAGAGUCCAUCUUCAGUUUGAGUUUACCAAACUAGCCCUGGAUGAAUAUCUGGACAAACUGAAACAUACGGAAAGUGACAAACUUCAGGUGCAGAUUCAGGCUUAUCUGGAUAACGUGUUUGAUGUGGGGGCUCUCCUGGAGGAUGCAGAGACCAAGAAUGCCGCACUGGAAAGGGUUGAAGAACUGGAAGAAAACAUUUCUCAUCUCUCUGAAAAGCUUCUAGACACAGAAAACGAAGCCAUGUCAAAAAUUGUAGAACUGGAAAAACAGCUUAUGCAAAGACAUAAAGAACUGGAAAUCGCCCGGGAAGUCUGUAAAGAUGCUAACACCCAGGUGCACACGUUACGGAAGAUGGUCAAGGAGAAGGAGGAAGCCAUUCAGAGACAGUCCACCCUGGAAAGAAAAAUCCAUGAACUGGAGAAACAAGGGACUCUUAAAAUUCAAAAGAAAGGCGAUGGGGACAUAUCUAUUACACCGCUAGUGACAUCAGGGUCUGCUCUGCCGGCGGGUACAGAAGUAGUGCUCAAUGCGUCAUCUGGUACCUUACCGUCAGGCUCUUCAGUUCCGGCUGCAGCUAUAUUAGAUGCAUCAGGAAUUUCUCUACCUUCACAAGUAAUGCCGUCACCUCCACCACCUCUGUCCUCAGAGUCUGGAGCCGUGGAAAAUGAACCCACGUCAUCUUCAAUGUCUCCUGCUCCUCCGGCUCCACCUCCCCCGCCACCUCCUCCUCCGCCCCCUCCGCCCGCACCACCUCUUCCAGGUCCAGCCGUGGAACCUAUGGUACCUCCACCACCUCCUCCCCCUCCGGGAGCUCCUCCUCUACCAGGAUCUGCCUCACCCACCGUUAUAUUUAACUCAGGACUCGCAGACGGGCCGAUCAAGCUGUUCUCUGUGAAAAUUAAGAAGCCGAUCAAGACGAAAUUCAGGAUGCCCGUAUUCAACUGGGUCGCUUUAAAACCCAAUCAGAUCAAUGGCACGGUUUUCAACGAAAUUGACGACGAAAGGAUACUGGAGGACUUAAAUGUAGAUGAAUUUGAAGAAAUCUUCAAGACAAAAGCCCAAGGCCCAGCCAUUGAUGUUGGCUCCACCAAGCAAAAAGCGGCACCUAAAGGCUCUAGCAAAGUGACACUACUGGAAGCAAACCGGGCCAAAAACCUCGCCAUCACCCUGAGAAAAGCAGGAAAGGCUGCAGAGGAGAUCUGCCGAGCUAUCCAACAGUUUGACCUGAAGACAUUACCGGUGGACUUUGUGGAAUGUUUGAUGAGAUUCUUGCCAACAGAGGCGGAGGUGAAGGUCUUUCGGCAGUACGAGCGGGAGAAGAAGCCUCUGGAGAACCUAUCGGACGAGGACCGAUUUAUGAUGCAGUUCAGCAAGAUCGAGAGGUUGAUGCAGAAGAUGACCAUCAUGGCCUUCAUCGGGAACUACAACGAGAGCAUCCAGAUGCUGACACCGCAACUUCACGCCAUUAUAGCUGCAUCUGUUUCGAUUAAAUCAUCUCAGAAACUAAAGAAAAUCCUAGAGAUUAUUUUGGCGCUUGGAAAUUACAUGAACAGCAGCAAGCGCGGCGCCGUCUACGGCUUUAAGCUUCAGAGCUUGGACUUGCUUCUGGAUACAAAGUCGACAGACAGAAAACAGACCUUAUUGCACUAUAUCUCUAAUGUAGUACGGGAAAAGUACCCACAGGUUGCCCUUUUCUUCAAUGAACUUCAUUACGUGGAAAAAGCUGCCGCAGUCUCGCUAGAAAAUGUCCUUCUGGAUGUAAAAGAACUGCAGAGAGGGAUGGAUCUGACCAAGAGAGAAUACACCAUGCACGACCACAACGUGAUGCUUAAAGAAUUCAUACAGAAUAAUGAAGGAAGGCUCAAGAAAUUACAAGACGAUGCAAAAAUCUCACAGGAUGCCUUUGACGAUGUAGUCAAAUAUUUUGGUGAAAAUCCUAAAACCACUCCUCCAUCUGUAUUCUUCCCAGUUUUUGUCAGAUUUGUGAAAGCGUACAAGUCGGCUGAUGAAGAGAAUGAGCAGCGGAAAAAACAGGAGCAGGCCCUGAUGGAGAAGCUUCUGGAGCAGGAGGCCAUGAUGGACCAGCAAGACCAGAAGUCUCCUUCACAUAAGAAUAAGCGGCAGCAGCAGGAGCUGAUAGCAGAGCUGAGGAGGAGGCAAGUGAAAGACAAUAGACAUGUGUAUGAGGGGAAGGAUGGCGCCAUUGAAGAUAUCAUCACAGAUCUUAGAAGCCAACCGUAUAGGAGAGCCGAUGCGGUGAGGAGAAGCGUGAGGAAGCGCUUCGAUGACCAGAAUAUGCGUUCUGUGAACGGUGCUGAGAUACCAGUAUGAGAUGGAGCCCCCCAUCCUUUCUUUUAAACCAGCGGGGGCGUGCACGUGUUUUGUAUGUGACGGGAAUCGGACCGUUAUCCCUCGUCGGUGAUGCACAACGGCCGCCAUUUUUGCCGGCACCUUCAUUGAACUGCAAAAGGGCUCAAACCGAUCACAAAUGAAAGACUGCAUCCGGGAUGAUGAUGUGAGCUGGAACCUCCACUCAUUGCAGAUAUAUAUAUAUUGUCCAAUAUUGUAGCUAACAAGUGCCUAAAUCCAACAUACCUGCUCAAAUGAGCAAUACAACUUGAUUUGAUCAGGUAUCUUUACACCAAUACGUUACUCAGUAUUUUUAACCAAAAUGUACAAUACAUCAUUUUUUAUUUUGUUACAUAUGACUUGAACGAGUGGUCGGUAAUCGCCUGUAGGAGUUACCCUUUGGUUUUUGUAAAUAAUACCGACACAUGGACUGGACGUAAAACGUAGGGGCGGGACGUAGUUUGGUGCGUUACGUUGCACUUAAAGGUCAAUCCAAUUCAAGGGCUUAUGUCGCGAGUGAAGGACUAAAAGAGAACACUGCACCUUUAAGAGGCGUAGAUUUAAUGGCUUUUUAUAUAUAUAUAUAUAUAUAUAUAUAUAUAUAUAUGAGAUUGUUGUCCUGGUUACUUUUUAUUUGUGUGCAAUUUUUUUCUGGAGCCUGCAGCCUUUGAAAUGCCAAUUUUUUGAAAUGAUUGACUAGCACCGGUUUACUAGACAGUAUUAGGCUUGAGAAGGUCAGUUCCAUAACUGGAUGAAUGUCAAUGAGUAUUUUUUUUUUUUUUAUAUAUAUAUACCCGUAUUUUUCGCACUUUUUCUUCCCCAAAACUGGGGGGGGGGAAGUUGGUGUGUCUUAUACGGCAAAUACACAUUAAACCCUGUGCUAUCGCGGCGGUCCCUGCGGCCAUCAACGGCCGGGACCCGCGGCUAAUACAGGACAUCCCCGAUCGCGGUGAUGCCCUGUAUUAACCCUUCAGACGCGGCAAUCAAAGCUGACCACCGCGCCUGAAGCGAAAGUGACACUAACCCGGUUGCUCAGUCGGGCUGUUCGGGACCGCCGCGGCGUCCCGAUCAGCUUACAGGACACCGGGAGGGACCUUACCUGCCUCCUCGGUGUCUGCUCCGUGCCGGGAUCCCCUGCAUGGCCGGCGCUCUCCUUAGUUGUCAUCACGUCGUUGCGCACGCCGUCCCGUCAUCCAAUAGGAGCUGAGUGCGUAGCGGCGUAUGUUGCGACGUAAUGGCGGCGACGGAGAGCAAGGAUACCCGGCAGCAGAGACGUUCCGGAGCGACGGGGACGCGGCGACAGCAAUGGGGGGGCGAUAUCCAGGGCAGCGGUGACGGUCCGGAGCAGCGGGGACAGGUGAGUACUGUACAGGUAGCUAGUGUUGCUCGCGAAUAUUCGCAAUGUAAAUUUUAUUCGCGAAUAUAGCACUAUAUAUUCGUAAUUACGAAUAUUAAUUUUUUGUUUUUUUUCACAGUACACAUCACAGUGAUCACCCCUCUCCGCUCCCAUCUUGUGUGGUGUAAAGAAGGCUCUAAUACUACUGUGGGAGACUGGCGCACAAGUUUUCGCACAUGCGAAAAUUUGCAUAUGCGAAUUUUCGUAUAUGCGCAAAUAAAACGCGAAUAUUACGAAUAUGCAAAUUUUGCGAAUAUAUGAUGAAUAUUCGUCCAUAUAAUUGCGAAAUAUCGCGAAUUCGAAUAUGACCUAUGCCGCUCAACACUAAGUAUUACCUCCUACACCAGUGGUCCGCAGGUUGAAGGUUCAGAAUCUUUUUUUUUCUAGCUUUUCACUCUUUAAAAUUGGGUGCGUCUUAUAUGCCGGAUCGUCUUAUAUGGCGAAAAAUACGGUACAUAUCAUAAACCUCCAGAUAAAAAAGCAGAAUCGGCCAUCUGGGUACAGACAAAAAGCACUUGCAUGACUUUUUUUUGGUUUUUGCAACUAUAACUCCCAGCAUGCUGAAGAAUGUGAUACCAUCUGUCUGUAAAAGAAUGAACACUCUGUAUGUGAUAUUUAUUUAUUUUUUUAUAUUACAAUUUAAAUCUACAAAAAAAAUAAAAAAAUUAAAAUGUAUAUUUUACAUGCAAAAAAAUAAAAAUAAAAAAAAAGCUCAAGACUAUAAACAAACCCUGAGUAGUCCCUAGUCCAAAGAUCGUAGCACUUGCAGUCCCCAUGGUUCGGUAAUAAAGACCCCUAGGUCGGUGGUCUCCAACUAUGGACCUCCAGAGAAAACUACAUUCAUCUCCCACAAUGAAAAGAGGAAAGCCAUGCAACUCUGUAUUAGCACAAGAUGAUUAAAAGAAAGUACUAGUUAAAGGGGUACUCCGGUAGAAAACUUUCGUUUUUUUUUUUUUU